UCACUCUGGUUUCUCUUCAUAAGGCAUAAGCCUUUCGCCUUUUACUAAAGACUUCCUUGGAGGUGAACGCUGUGCUAAGCUAAGCUUUGCUGUUUGGCCGAGCCUUUUGUACUUGCUUU